rnacentral:rRNA from 1 species
GUAGGGUCCAAGCGUUAAUCGGAAUUACUGGGCGUAAAGCGUGCGCAGGCGGUUGUGCAAGACCGAUGUGAAAUCCCCGAGCUUAACUUGGGAAUUAGCAUUGGUGACUGCACGGCUAGAGUGUGUCAGAGGGGGUAGAAUUCCACGUGUAGCGGUGAAAUGCGUAGAGAUGUGGAGGAAUACCGAUGGCGAAGGCAGCCCCCUGGGAUAACACUGACGCUCAUGCACGAAAGCGUGGGAGCAAACAGGAUUAGAUACCCUGGUAGUCCACGCCCUAAACGAUGUCAACUAGUUGUUGGGGAUUCAUUUCCUUAGUACGUAGCUAACGCGUGAAGUUGACCGCCUGGGGAGUACGGUCGCAAGAUUA